rnacentral:lncRNA from 1 species
AAAUUGAUUCUCAGCUGCUUAUUAAAAACUUUUUCCUCCUCCAAUUAAUGGCUCCAAGGCUUCAUAAGAGAAAGAACUCUGUUUGCUGGUUGAACCCAAGUUCUUGAUGGUUGAUCAAAUAGCCGUAAGUCUGAUUGAAAAGCAGAAAAUUGAAGUAUUUGAAUUCGAUUCUCCUGUGUGAAAGUAACAGAAAAAAUUUUUAGGUGGAAAACGUGUUGAUUCUUGGUGGGUUUCUUUUUCUGGCGAGAUUGGAGAAAUGGAGAAAGUCUUCCAAUGGGAAAAACGGAGGGCGUUUACUGCGGGCGUUUUUGUGCGUAUUUUUUCAAAUGAAGUGACGACGAAAUUUCCUUUUAGAUUAAAUGUAAUUAAGACAAAUCCGUUCUUC